CUAGGGCUUGAGAGGGUGGAGGUUGCUUUGAGGGUAAGCUGUGGGGGCUCCAAACCUGGGCACUUCCCACAGUGAAAUUCGAAAGUGGCCCCUGAAGGCAAGGGAGAGGCCGAAGGAAGAGGCAGGCCUCUCCAGAAGGGUAGGCGCCGGUUUUAAAAGGCGAGGGAACUUACCGAGGAGGCUUGGCCGGGGUGCCCACAAGACGAGUAGAUUGGCACCUGCUGGUCAGCCCCUGCAGGGUUUUAUAGAGACCCCAGUGGGGUUUCGUCACAUGUGCGCUCCACGUGGUAUCAACACCAGGAUACUCUCUCAAGCCUGCAUCCUCAAAAAGGGCAGGACGGGGGAGGGGUGAGCAGCCUGCCAUUGUCCCCGCCGCCCCACUCGCCUUCUGAAUGACCUCGAGCAACAGGCUACAGCCAGAGAUUAAGAAGCAAGCCCACUGCAGGGCUGAGGUGGCCAGAUGAAGAGAAGAGGAUGACGGGCGCUGAAGAUUGCAUUCCUGGACUCUUUCAUCCGUAUCCCUCUACUCCCAUUUGCUUUUUUUUUUUUUUUUUUUAAAUACCCCCUCCUGGCUGGAAGCAUCUGCUCCUUGUUUAACACCUGGAGUCGUCAGGAGCCGCCACAUGGCACCACCGGGGAGGUAGAGCAGAGUGAAAAGAUUAGAAGCCAGCCCCAUGGUAUUGUUUGGGCUCUUAAAUCCUGCUGUACCGGAACUUAGCCCUACCCCUGAACUCUUGAAGAUAUGAGACGAUGAAAUUCAUCUUCCCUUAACUGGUUCCAUUUGCGUUUCUGUUGCUUUGCAAUGGAAAGAGACCUGGCCUCUACCAUCUCCAAAAUGAGAGGCAAGAUUUAAGCCAGCUGUAUUUAAGCUUUUAAGAUAAUCAGUUUGAAGCUUAGAAGGAACAGAAAACCCCGGCUGCAGCACACCUACUGGAGCACACCUACUGGAUAAUUACGCUGAACCAAGGGAGAGUGUGGACUGCCAAGCUGCCCUCAGCAACCUGAAUCCAGAGGCAGGACUGGGCCAGCCAGAAGUUGUGACGGCUCUGGAAUUGCUGCCCGUUCCACUGCCUCUGCCUGCCCUCCAGAGGGGCAAGGCAAACAUGCGAGUCCUCCAGGGCGGAAUUGGCGGGGCUGACAAGACAGCUGGAGGCUAGAGGGGGCGGCGGCGUGGGAUGCUCAGCCAGGCACGGAAAGUGGCAGAAUUUUCCAAGAUGCACAUUGACUCUUCCUGUCAAGGUAGAAGGCUCUAAUGCCACCUAGGGCAGCUAGAUUGCAUUUGCCAAUCGCGGACUGCUGUUGCCAAUUUGUUCCUGAUCUCAAGGUCGAUUCUGAAUAAUUUUAGCUGGGCUA